rnacentral:misc_RNA from 1 species
AAGUCGUAACAAGGUUUCCGUAGGUGAACCUGCGGAAGGAUCAUUAUCCUUUAGCGUGGUAUUCUAACCGAUACUACAAGCGCAUGCACUCCAAUGUGUUGCGUAAAAAAGCACAACGACAAUGCCUAGUCAUUUUCGUUAGUUCAAAUCCAUGCUUGCUUGAGUAUGGUCGGGUACCUACGAUUGCUAACGCAACGUAAGCGGUAGAUCCUAUGUUCUAUCGUGUGGUGUAAAGAUCAUUCAGGCUUUGAAUGACGCCCGCUUAGCAAAAUUUAUAAUACCAAAUUUUAAAUCGCUUACUAUGUUGUAUGUGUAGAGCAAUAUCUUGGAUACAUUCAGGAUAAUAACACAAAUACAACCCUAUGCGGUGGAUCAUUUGGCUC